rnacentral:lncRNA from 1 species
UAAAAUAAGAAAUAGAAGUUGAAAAGAAAAUAAUAAUGAAAAAUAGCAAUAAUUAAACAAAAAGAAUGAAAAAAAAAAUGUAAAAUGAGAAGUGAAUUUUCAGCACGUGUAAUGCUUUAAAUUUCACUUUUUCGUUCAUGAUUUAGACAUUGCACAUUAAAUAAUUUCAUACGGGCUAUAUUUUUGUAAUGACGUAUUUGGUAGAUAUCUAGGUGAACAAAUUGGUGAAAAUAAGAGAAGAAUGGUCACUUUCUCAAAAAUAUUUUGAUAUACAUUAAUCAAACAAUUGCUUGUCAUAGUUGGAUGGUUUUUUUAUUUGGGCAAUUUCUUAUUGCAUCGGACAGUUUGUUUCUGCACCUCACUGGGAAAAAUUAGGUUUACUUCAUUUUCUUGUUUUCUGUGGGUUUUGUUGAUUGUUUGGUGAGUGUUGUUCCCUUCACCUCUCCAAGUGAGUCUUGCACCUCCUCACUAUUUUAAUUAUUUCAAAAAUAUUUUACACCUUUUCACUAUUUUCUUUUAUUCUAAAAAUACGCACAUUUCCCCAGUAUCAUUAACAAUCUUUCUCUUCUCUCUCUACAUUAAUGGAACAUUUACAUAACUCAAAUUUGAACUUGUGAUAUAUUUUUUUAAAUAAGUUUG